AGUGAACGCUGGCGGUAGGCCUAACACAUGCAAGUCGAACGGCAGCACAGUAAGAGCUUGCUCUUACGGGUGGCGAGUGGCGGACGGGUGAGGAAUACAUCGGAAUCUACUUUUUCGUGGGGGAUAACGUAGGGAAACUUACGCUAAUACCGCAUACGACCUACGGGUGAAAGCAGGGGAUCUUCGGACCUUGCGCGAUUGAGUGAGCCGAUGUCGGAUUAGCUAGUUGGCGGGGUAAAGGCCCACCAAGGCGACGAUCCGUAGCUGGUCUGAGAGGAUGAUCAGCCACACUAGAACUGAGACACGGUCCAGACUCCUACAGGAGGCAGCAGUGGGGAAUAUUGGACAAUGGGCGCAAGCCUGAUCCAGCCAUACCGCGUGGGUGAAGAAGGCCUUCGGGUUGUAAAGCCCUUUUGUUGGGAAAGAAAAGCAGCAGGUUAAUACCCCGCUGUUCUGACGGUACCCAAAGAAUAAGCACCGGCUAACUUCGUG
rnacentral:rRNA from 1 species